GAAAGUUGUUGAUGUGAGUUGUAAUUAUGUAAGGACAUGAGGAUUAUAUUGUAAAAGAACAAAAAUCUAAAUGAAGGGAGGUGAGAAGGGGAUCGGUAGAAGACCCCAGAUUUUUCCCCAAUGUCUCCUCUCCUUCAUGAACCCUAGUUCACAAAUCCAUGAGUGACAAGAUGGUAUCAGGGCGGGACGAAUCCUGUGUGGUUCUCCUGUGAUUUCGAUUGAUUUUGGUCGUCGGUGCGGUGCGGUGCUGUGUCGCUCCUAUUGUUGGAGGUGCUUCUGCUGCUGGCUUUGUUGUAGGUGUCGGGAAGCGACCUCGAUUCUGCCUGAAUCAAGUACAACCGGGGAGGCUCCUGCAGCUACCAGUUGAAUUGAAUAGAGCCUGGGCGUCUAGACUCCCUCCCCGCUACAAGCUAAUUUUUUCUCUCCUGCCAUCCGGCGCCGUGAGCAGGUCUAGUUCGUCCCCAACUUGACUCUCGGACUCCUUGAGCUUCUGUGUUUUUUAUUGCUUUAGAAGAAGAAUCAGUGUUGCCUGGAGCUGCUUUGGUGGUCAGCUGGCCGGAUUAAAUAAUACUAUUUGCUAGUGUUGCAAUCCGAAGUAAUUGCCGUACUCUUUGGCACAUUGUUGAGCCGUACUAGUUGGUUCCUCUUUGUGCUGCACGUAUUUGAUAAGAAGAACCAAGUACUAGUGUUGGAAUAUAUUCUUGCUCACUGAACCAUGGGAGAUCCAAGUACAGAAAAACAGGGGAUUCUAGUGUUGAUAAGAUGUAUGAAAUAUUUAGCAAACUGCUUAAGCACCAGCAGGCUGCUGAGCCAGUUAAGCAUACACUUGAGCCAAAUCCAGUCAAACUAUCAGGACCUGGUGACUACAUCAGUUGGGCACGCCAUGCCAAAUUGAUUUUGAGCGCCAAUGAGUAUGAUUAUUUACUUGUUGGGAGUGAAGAAAGUUUGGAGAAAGGCGGUGCGGGCAGGAAACAAAUCAAUGAUAAAGUACUAGUAUGGCUGUUGGAAGUAUGGAACCAAAAAUAAGAGAACAAGUGGAAGGCAUGGACACUGUUUGUGAGGUCCGGUCAUCUUUGAAGAAACAAUUUGCAGGGAAAACAAAUAAAAUGCAAGCCACCCAUAUCAUGCAUGAGUUAACUAAUUUGAAGCAGCGCUCAAGAUCUGUAACAGAGUAUCCAGGUGAAGUAAAAAAUUAUAUAGAAACUUACAUUAUCAUCACCCUUUUGAACCUGUUGACAAGGAUGACUUGGCAAUUCAUCAUGUGUGGUUUGAGUCGUUUGUGAGCAAGCUCUUUCUUGAUGGCCUAGACCAGGAACUAAACCUCCGUCGUCAAUUGAUAUUUGGAAUGCCUGAGUGGCCUAGUCUUGAUGAUAUUAUUUCUAGCAUGAUUGAGGAGGAGACUCGUUUGGCACAACCGAAGGAGGAUGGUCAGGAGCGUGCAGAUGCUCGUGCUGCAUUAUCCAUACAACCUCGCCGUGCUACAAAUUCCUUUGGUAAGGUGGAUAAAAGCAAAUUGCUUUGUGACCAUUGCAAGAGAAAAGGACACACCAAGGGUGAGUGUUUUGAGUUGCAUGGUUAUCCACCUUGGUGGGAUAAAGGGAGAUCUCAGCUAGGGGGAGCUCGGGGUUCAAACAAAAGACAAGCUAAUUACAAUGCAUCUGCAAGGGAACUACAUGUGGUAGAUAUGCAAGCUCUUGAGGAUUUCAAAUCCAAGCUCAAAUUCUCUGAAGGCUCAUCUUCGUCCCAAGGUUCCUCCAAAGUUGAUUCUAGCUUUAAUGCCAUCACCCAAGGAGCUUGGGACAGGGAGAGUUCUCGGGACUGGGACCAUGCAUGAGGGACUCUACUAUCUUGAUGAAGGGGGAGAUGAAAUUGCUCUUGCAACCUGCAUGUCUCCUACUCAAGAAUUGUUACUUCAUCACCGAAGAUUGGGACACCUCUCUUUUGCUGCCAUGUCAUGUAUUUAUCCCUCUCUCUUUAACUUGUGUUCUAGAGAAUCCCUUGUAUGCGACGCAUGUGAAUUAGCAAAACAUACAAGGGGUACCUAUCCUAGCAGGGGUUUGCGAAGUCAUAAAUCAUUUGAAGUAAUACAUUCUGAUGUUUGGGGCC